GCAUCGGUGGUUCAAUGGUAGAAUGCUCGUUUCCCAAGCGAGAGACUCGGGUUCGAUUCCCGGCCGAUGCA
rnacentral:tRNA from 1 species